rnacentral:rRNA from 1 species
CCUACGGGAGGCAGCAGUGAGGAAUAUUGGUCAAUGGGCGCGAGCCUGAACCAGCCAAGUAGCGUGAAGGAUGACUGCCCUACGGGUUGUAAACUUCUUUUAUAAAGGAAUAAAGUGAGGCACGUGUGCCUUUUUGUAUGUACUUUAUGAAUAAGGAUCGGCUAACUCCGUGCCAGCAGCCGCGGUAAUACGGAGGAUCCGAGCGUUAUCCGGAUUUAUUGGGUUUAAAGGGAGCGUAGAUGGGUUGUUAAGUCAGUUGUGAAAGUUUGCGGCUCAACCGUAAAAUUGCAAUUGAGACUGGCAGCCUUGAGUACAGUUGAGGUAGGCGGAAUUCGUGGUGUAGCGGUGAAAUGCAUAGAUAUCACGCAGAACUCCGAUUGCGAAGGCAGCAUACCGGCGCUCAACUGACGCUCAUGCACGAAAGUGUGGGUAUCGAACAGGAUUAGAUACCCGGGUAGUC